GCUUUCUGGUUAGGCUGGUUCACAAUUGUUUUUUUUUUGCAUGUUUCUCUAUCUAACUUUAUUUAAUACAUGAUUUUCCAUCUUGCUUCACACAAAAACCCCAUCCCUAAAGCAUGCUCCGUAGAAGUGCAGUUGCCCAGAGGAGCAGCCAGUAAUGCUGAAAUCAUCUGUAAUGCAAAGGAAGAGGGCUUGUGGAAUUGGAGAGCCUGGCUGCAGCAGCUCCACGUGCUUCCCUCUUGUAGAGGGAAACAUGUUGGCAUUGUGCACCGGUGCCUGCUCUGUCAUUGUUUCAAUGUGGACUCUGAAAAACAGUUCUAAAAACAAAAACACAGAAACUCAAGCAGGUUAGACUUGCUGGUCAGUGAAAUUGCAAGAGUUCAAGAGGGAAGACAAUUGAUUUGAAGUUAACAGAAAGUUGGGGUCAUCCUCCUGUUUCCUCUUCAGCUUUACCAAUUUGACUGUGAUAGAAAAGAACGCCUGGUCCCCAGACACCCUUGACUAUGAAUCCAUGGAAAUCCAUGUUGGCUGUCAUCUCCUUUGUGACCAUCAACUCCAUCAUGUGAACUAGGGCUCUGUAUUUUAGUGAGGUCAAUUUUUCUGCACCUUUACCUGAGAACCUAACUCCUGAUUCCAGAAAUUGUAGCUUCCACAGAAAUGUAUCGGGAAUUUGAAAUAUAAGCUAUCGGUGGCAAAAGAAAGGGGGGUGGGCAUGAUCCCAUGUUAAUGCAACAAGAAUCUGC